rnacentral:lncRNA from 1 species
CAGUUAAAAAAGUACUACUAGCUAAAAUUACCGACACUUUUAAAAAGUUUGCUAUAUGGGGUCGCUAGGUAUAUAGUGACAGUUAAAGAGUGUCGCUAUAACCUAAAAAAGUGCUGCUAAUUUACCAACACUUAUUUAAGCAUUUAACAACCGCCAAAACUCUAUCUCGUUGGCUGUGGUGGCGGAGGAGGACGACAGUAAAGGCUUUUCGUCUAGAAUUUCAGUGGAUUGAGUGAAGAGAGAAGAAAAGAUAGUAAUUGAUUUUUCUCUUUUUUUUUUCUUUUCUGUUUGUAAUCGGGCCAAGUGGACUGGGUGUGGUGGGUUGAGUAGAGUAAUCUUUUAUUUUUGGUUGGAUUGGGCUUUAUAUUUAGGCAUUAGUAGAUGUGUUUUUAAGUUUUAGCAUAAAUAGGACACUUACUCAAAAGUGUCCCAAACAUGUGUCCCUAUAACCUAAUUCUGUUGUAGUAAUAGCUACAGUAAAGGCAAUUUUUAAAAAAACAAUAAUCACCAAAUAAAUUGUAACUUUAAUAAUAAAUUAAAU